AGAUUCCGUAGGUGACCUGCGGAGGACAUUAAUGAAUUUGAACCACCUUUCAGUCGUGCUGGCUUUGCAAGUGCACACUGUCUGGUUUCAUCCAACACCCUUGUGCACCUUUGGCCUCGCGUUGUAAUCUUUACGCGUGAGGAUUUUACACAAACUCGUAUGUAAAAGAAUGUAGAUCUAGUGCGUAAGCACGAAAUAAACAACUUUCAACAACGGAUCUCUUGGCUCUCGCAUCGAUGAAGAACGCAGCGAAAUGCGAUAAGUAAUGUGAAUUGCAGAAUUCAGUGAAUCAUCGAAUCUUUGAACGCACCUUGCACCCUUUGGUAUUCCGAAGGGUAUGCCCGUUUGAGUGUCAUUGUAAUCUCACACCCUAAGAUUUUUUCGAAGGGCGGUGGACUUGGAUGUUGCCGCGUUAAGCGGCUCGUCUUAAAUGCAUUAGUGCAACUUUCGGUUGGACAUAGUACAGCGUGAUAAGUAUCUUCGCUGGCUCUCUUCGGAGGUGUUCGAACGUUUAGCUCUGUGCUUCUAACUGUCCCGUUGGGACUAAGCUUCGGCUUAUUUUGACAACUUGACCUCAAAUCGGGUAGGACUACCCGCUGAACUUAAGCAUAUAAAAAGCGGGA
rnacentral:rRNA from 1 species